CACGGGGGGGAGCAAGCGUUGUUCGGAAUCACUGGGCGUAAAGGGGCGUGUAGGCGGUUCGGUAAGUGGAAUGUGAAAUGCUCCGGCUCACCCGGAGUACUGCAUCCCAAACUGCCGAGCUUGAGUAUGGGAGAGGAUGAGGGAAUUCCUGGUGUAGCGGUGAAAUGCGUAGAUAUCAGGAGGAACACCGGUGGCGAAGGCGCUCAUCUGGCCCAAUACUGACGCUGAGGCGCGAAAGCUAGGGGGAGCAAACGGG
rnacentral:rRNA from 1 species